rnacentral:lncRNA from 1 species
GAGCACAUGCUUGAUGUGGGUGGGCUGUGGUUUUGCAGGUGCAACCCGAGCGCUUGCUUUCUGUUUGUGUUUGCAGGUUUUGCAGGAAGUUGUGGAGAGGCACAGAUGAGCGUUGACAAGAGCCUGAGCAGGUGAGAGGGGGCGCUUGUCGGGUCCGAGGUUUCUUGUGCGGUGGGUAGCGCUGGGCUGCCUGUCGGUGAUGUCUCUCGCUCUGCUUUUCCAGGUACUGCGUGGGCCUUUCCCAGGCAUGGCUGAGGAUGUCAGGUGAGCAGAUUCCUGAUGGGUGUUGUGGGGUUGGUGAGUAUUGCCUGGCAGAAGAGUCACUUUGUUUUGCUUUUUCCCAGUGCUGCUGGUGUCCCCCCCAGGCACAAUGUUGGAGUCUGGGAUUGGUGCGGUGCAGGUGAUGAAGGUGAAUGUGGUGACCAGAGGAAGAUUAGAGAGGAUGCAGCUGCCAUUGAGGAUGCCUCUUGAAGACAGAUGGUGACCCAGAGCACUGUAGAAGCUAAAUGUGGCGCAGCAGUUGGAGUGCUUGAGGGAGGUGGAGGAAGAAAGGGUCAUGCCCUAGGAAGGUGAGCUAGAGAUUUGUUGCUGGAAGCAGAGUCUUGUGGUCAGCGGUUCCCUGGUUAAUUUUUGCUUUGUGCUUGUAGAUAUGGAGGAAUGUGGAGAGUGGGUCGUUCACAUGUGGGAGGAGCACGACAAGGUGAGCUUUGGUCUGAGUGCGGUAGCAGAGCCUAGCAUAGGGCUGUUGUCUCAUUGGUGC